CUCCAAGGGAGAGCUGAGGCUCUCUAAGGGUAGCUUGUUAAGCCCUCUCCACAGCAAGGAACCAGGGCCAAGAGCCACAGAGGCCCACAGCAGAGAGGUCCCUGGAACACCCUUCCCUUAUCAAGGCCAGGCUGCUGGGGCAGAGGCAGGGUGGGGGCAGAAGCAGAAGCCCAGAAGGCAGGGCACUGUGACAUCACUCACUGUCGCCAAUAUGGCAUCAGGACUUGUCUACUCAACAGCUUCCCCAGUACCAAGCCUCCAUGAACUCACCAGCUUCUCUGUUCCCACAGAACAGGGUAGGUCUGGGCUGACCUCAGACCCUUCAGCAGCCCCCAGACAUAAUGCUCUGCCAGUGACCUCAGACUAAGCUCCAGGGGCUCUCCGAGAGCAAGAGCAGCAGCUCAAGGAAGAAAGCUACCACCAAGGGCCACCAAAGGACAAGACCAUUGUUUUCUCUGGUCAUAUCUUCAUGUGGGACCACCACUUCCCUACAGAAGAUAAAAGCCAGCCCACCUGGCACCAGCCCAGGACCCUGCUCAACAUCAUUUCAAUGCUCCCCAGAAAGGCCAACUCCUCACAGGUGGCUGAGAAUCUCCCUCAGGCAAAGAGAGCAUGAAGGAAAAGCAGCAAGGUUAGAGAGUAGGAAAGACCAGUCGUGCCAGACAAUAGUUCAGGCAGCAGAGGACAGUGGAUGGCCUUCCAGAGGCUCUUUGUGGAAGUGGUGUGGUAACAGCAGGUGCUACUCUUGAGGAGGAGGGAAGAGGCCAGGCAGGCAGGGCUGCUACCACAAGGCUCCAGCAAAAACAAUAAAGACCCUACAGGGCAGGGUCCCCAACUUUCAUUUCCCCACGUGCACAAAAGGAUAGACCCUUCAGCUUGACUGCACCAAGGCCAGACAUCUGAGGUCAAAUGCUGCCCUGGAGAAUACAUGGAUGUGAGCUAUAUACGUCUGGGAAGGACAGCCUGGAAGCAGGAAGCUGCAGUAACAAGAGCUUGGUGAACAGUAUGGAGCAUGGGGAAGAGUGAGGACCCAGAGGAAGUGGCCUGAGCAGCCCCUGCUCUACUCCUAGACAUUGCCACAACCCAGCCAUCAAGACCUCACCCAUUCCUGGGAUCCAGGUAGACAGGCCCAGGUGAGCACUCAGUCCUGGUGAGAGGUGCCCAAGAUAGCCCUGUGGGGCCAUCCAGCCCAGCAUCUGUACAGGCAGCACUCAGCAAAAGCAGAUGCAGGCUCUAAAAAAAUGUUCAGUCUCUAUGGCCAGGCACAUCUAGGGUGGGGGGAUUGGGGG